GCCCAUAGGAAUAUUAUUUGCUACUCGUGGCUCUUGUGCUUUUUCUAUAUACUGAGGACUCUGGGCACAAAAACAUAUUUCAGUUGAAUGUCAGCACUCAAUGAUGUAUAAAGGAAAAGGAGCCCAAAUAAU